UGGCCACAUCAUGUUCAAACACCGGUUCCCGUACGAUCACCGAAGUUAAGAAACAAUUAGCCUGGUCAGUACCUAGAUGAGUGACCGCUUGGGGAUACCAGGUGCUGUAAG